CAUAUGAUAGUUAUAGUAUGCUGCUAUAAUGCUUUGAAUAUGCUUCUCUUUCUCUAUGUAUUUCUGGUUUUGUGUGUGUGGAUUCUGGCGUGUUCCUGAAGCUAUGCCGUUAAAGCUUGUCUUUGCUUCCUCUUGGCCGUUAGUACCACCGUUUACCAAGACCACAUUGCUUUAAAAUUUUCAUUUUUAUAUAACUUAAAAAGAAUUUUUCUAAAAAAUAAAGUAAAAUCAAAUACCAAUUUUACAUUUGACCUUUAGUUGAAAAAACGAGUACGGAAAAUCUUAAAUCUGCAUCCGAACGUUGCCAACUCUCUAUGCACACUCCGUGACAAGGUUUUAACGCAAUUGAAGAUUGAAGCAGAAGAUUGAAGGAGAAGGAAACGUUAGUUACAGGGUUUAUGCGUUGACGCUCAAAGGGUUGAUGAGCGAAAACGGAGAUGACAAAAAAGAGUGACCAGCGGAAGAUUGGGUUCAGCGGCGGCGAUCGUUGGGUAACGUCGGCGGAAGAUUGACGUGUGCGCCGUUUGGCUCAUAGCUAAUUCGGUUGCAGAAUUGGCAGUGCCUGAAGACAAGGGUGGUCAGGUUUAUGUUGUUGCUGUAGCAAAAGAUGGCUAAGAACACUAUCAAAACAGUUUCGUAAGGUAUGGUUGAGUACUGUCACGAAGGAUUUAUCAAGGUUGUGCAAGAGAGUAACAGAAGAGAGGUAGUGUAUCUGUGUUUUUGAAGCAAACUUAACCUACUCAAUCACACAUUCCUAAAGGUACGGAUAAAUAUUACGUGAAAAGAGGAGGUUCUACUGGUACGAGGAAUUUUGUUGUUCUACUAGGUUUUGACUAUGGUUGUCUACCACCAUUGUCUUUGGGUUGUCAAAAGAAAUGUGAAAGAACCUGCUCUGUUAUAUAUUUAAAUGCAUAUGUUAGCAACUGG